rnacentral:rRNA from 2 species
UUGAUCCUGCCAGUAGUCAUAUGCUUGUCUCAAAGAUUAAGCCAUGCAUGUCUCAGUACAAGCCACAUUAAGGUGAAACCGCGAAAGGCUCAUUAAAUCAGUUAUGGUUCCUUAGAUCGUACCCACAUUUACUUGGAUAACUGUGGUAAUUCUAGAGCUAAUACAUGCAAACAGAGUUCCGACCGGAGACGGGAGGAAUGCUUUUAUUAGAUCAAAACCAAUCGGCGGCGGUUGCGUUCGCGCUGCCGUUCGCCGCUCAACCUGGUGACUCUGAAUAACUUUCGGCUGAUCGCACGGUCUAGCACCGGCGACGCAUCUUUCAAAUGUCUGCCUUAUCAACUGUCGAUGGUAGGUUCUGCGCCUACCAUGGUCGUAACGGGUAACGGGGAAUCAGGGUUCGAUUCCGGAGAGGGAGCCUGAGAAACGGCUACCACAUCCAAGGAAGGCAGCAGGCGCGCAAAUUACCCACUCCCGGCACGGGGAGGUAGUGACGAAAAAUAACGAUACGGGACUCAUCCGAGGCCCCGUAAUCGGAAUGAGUACACUUUAAAUCCUUUAACGAGGAUCAAUUGGAGGGCAAGUCUGGUGCCAGCAGCCGCGGUAAUUCCAGCUCCAAUAGCGUAUAUU